AGACUUUGAUUAUGGCUCAGAUUGAACGCUGGCGGCAGGCCUAACACAUGCAAGUCGAGCGGUAGCACAGAGAAGCUUGCUUCUUGGGUGACGAGCGGCGGACGGGUGAGUAACGCGUGGGAAUCUACCUGGUAGUGGGGGACAACAGUCGGAAACGACUGCUAAUACCGCACACGCCCUUCGGGGGAAAGUGGGGGAUCUUCGGACCUCACGCUAUCAGAUGAGCCCGCGUCGGAUUAGCUUGUUGGUGAGGUAAAGGCUCACCAAGGCGAUGAUCCGUAGCUGGUCUGAGAGGAUGACCAGCCACACUGGGACUGAGACACGGCCCAGACUCCUACGGGAGGCAGCAGUGGGGAAUAUUGGACAAUGGGGGAAACCCUGAUCCAGCAAUGCCGCGUGAGUGAAGAAGGCCUUAGGGUUGUAAAGCUCUUUCAGCUGUGAGGAAAGGCGAGUGGUUAAUACCCGCUUGCUGUGACGUUAACAGCAGAAGAAGGACCGGCUAACUCCGUGCCAGCAGCCGCGGUAAUACGGAGGGUCCGAGCGUUAAUCGGAAUUACUGGGCGUAAAGCGCGCGUAGGUGGUUCAGUCAGUCAGAUGUGAAAGCCCCGGGCUCAACCUGGGAACUGCACCUGAUACUGCUGAGCUAGAGUACGGUA
rnacentral:rRNA from 1 species